UCAUUCUUUCCAAACAGCUUGAAAGUUUUUUUCCAAACCCUUAUAGCCUCCCCUCCCUUUUUAGUCGAUUGGGCUUCGCCAGCGCCUAAUAUGCCUCCAUCUCCGUCGAGGCUUUAACCAGAUCCCCAGGGAUCCGUCUGCCUUUGGAUCGGAGAAGCAAAUGUCAACUAGGUCGACACCGAAUCAACAGUUUGCAGGUACAGGGUACGAGGCCAGCUGUGGCGUACGGCUCGUUGACGCGGAGGCGUGGUUGUGGCUGUGGCACAAGGAGGCCGUACAACGCUGAAGGCUGGGGGCUGCGGCGCUCCUUGCUGCUAGGGUUUGCUAGCUUAGCUAAACCUAAGUUUAGAUUUUGGGCCAUUGGGCCCCGUUGUAAAUGAGUAUCUGAGUUUGUUAUUAGGCUCGUAUUGGGUUUGGGUUUAGCUUUGUUUGGGUUUGGAUUGGUUGUAACUGGACUUGAACUGCUGGCUUGAAUUUAAUUUUAUUAUUAGUUUUGGUUUCUAUA